GAUCCUGGCUCAGAUUGAACGCUGGCGGCAUGCCUUACACAUGCAAGUCGAACGGCAGCGCGGACUUCGGUCUGGCGGCGAGUGGCGAACGGGUGAGUAAUGUAUCGGAACGUGCCCUAGAGUGGGGGAUAACGUAGCGAAAGUUACGCUAAUACCGCAUACGAUCUAUGGAUGAAAGUGGGGGACCGUAAGGCCUCACGCUCAUGGAGCGGCCGAUAUCUGAUUAGCUAGUUGGUAGGGUAAAAGCCUACCAAGGCGACGAUCAGUAGCUGGUCUGAGAGGACGACCAGCCACACUGGGACUGAGACACGGCCCAGACUCCUACGGGAGGCAGCAGUGGGGAAUUUUGGACAAUGGGGGCAACCCUGAUCCAGCAAUGCCGCGUGUGUGAAGAAGGCCUUCGGGUUGUAAAGCACUUUUGUCAGGAACGAAAAGGUUUGGCCUAAUAAGCUGAGCUCAUGACGGUACCGUAAGAAUAAGCACCGGCUAACUACGUG
rnacentral:rRNA from 1 species